rnacentral:rRNA from 1 species
UUGAUCUCAAAUCAGGUAGGACUACCCGCUGAACUUAAGCAUAUCAAUAAGCGGAGGAAAAGAAACUAACAAGGAUUCCCCUAGUAACUGCGAGUGAAGCGGGAAGAGCUCAAAUUUAAAAUCUGGCGUGCCUCUGGCCGUCCGAGUUGUAAUCUGGAGAAGCGUUUUCCGUGUUGGACCGUGUAUAAGUCUCUUGGAACAGGGCGUCAUAGAGGGUGAGAAUCCCGUCUUUGACACNGACUACCAAUGCUUUGUGAUGCGCUCUCAAAGAGUCGAGUUGUUUGGGAAUGCAGCUCAAAAAUGGGUGGUA